rnacentral:rRNA from 1 species
CUACGGGGGCUGCAGUGGGGAAUAUUGGACAAUGGGGGAAACCCUGAUCCAGCAAUGCCGCGUGUGUGAAGAAGGCCUGCGGGUUGUAAAGCACUUUCGGUUGGGAGGACUGCUUCUAGUACUAAUAUUGUUGGAAGUUGACGUUACCUUCAGAAGAAGCACCGGCUAACUCCGUGCCAGUAGCCGCGAUAAUACGGAGGGUGCAAGCGUUAAUCGGAAUUACUGGGCGUAAAGCGCGCGUAGGCGGCUAGAUCAGUCGGGUGUGAAAGCCCCGGGCUUAACCUGGGAACUGCAUCCGAUACUGUCUAGCUUGAGUACAGGAGAGGAGAGUGGAAUUCCACAUGUAGCGGUGAAAUGCGUAGAUAUGUGGAGGAACACCAAUGGCGAAGGCAGCUCUCUGGCCUGAUACUGACGCUGAGGUGCGAAAGCGUGGGGAGCAAACAGGAUUAGAUACCCGCGUAGUC